rnacentral:rRNA from 1 species
ACAGAGGUGGCGAGCGUUGUUCGGAAUCACUGGGCUUAAAGCGUGUGUAGGCGGACCGGUAAAUGUCUUGUGAAAUCCCCCGGCUUAACCGGGGAAUUGUUGGGCAGACUGCCGGUCUUGAGGUAGGCAGGGGUGCUUGGAACUCUUGGUGGAGCGGUGAAAUGCGUAGAUAUCAAGAGGAACGCCUGUGGUGAAAACGGAGCACUGGACCUAUUCUGACGCUGAGACACGAAAGCGUGGGGAGCGAACGGGAUUAGAUACCCCGGUAGUCCACGCUGUAAACGAUGCCUACUAGGUGUUGGAAACUCUGACGUUUUCAAGACCGAAGCAAAAGUGUUAAGUAGGCCGCCUGGGGAGUACGGUCGCAAGGCUA